rnacentral:rRNA from 1 species
GACAGCAGUCGCCCGGUAAUACAGAGGUCUCAAGCGUUGUUCAGAUUCAUUGGGCGUAAAGGGUGCGUAGGUGGCGGUGUAAGUCUAACGUGAAAUCUCGGGGCUCAACCUCGAAAUUGCGUCGGAUACUGCAUUGCUAGAGGAUUGUAGAGGAGAGUGGAAUUCAUGGUGUAGCAGUGAAAUGCGUAGAUAUCAUGAGGAAGACCAGUUGCGAAGGCGACUCUCUGGGCAAUUCCUGACACUGAGGCACGAAGGCUAGGGGAGCAAACAGGAUUAGAUACCCCGGUAGUCCCUGUCUCUUAUACA